GCGGAGGAAAAGAAACCAACAGGGAUUGCCCUAGUAACGGCGAGUGAAGCGGCAACAGCUCAAAUUUGAAAUCUGGCCUCGGCCCGAGUUGUAAUUUGCAGAGGAUGCUUCUGGCGCGGUGCCUUCCGAGUUCCCUGGAACGGGACGCCACAGAGGGUGAGAGCCCCGUAUGGUCGGACACUAAGCCUGUGUGAAGCUCCUUCGACGAGUCGAGUAGUUUGGGAAUGCUGCUCUAAAUGGGAGGUAAAUCUCUUCUAAAGCUAAAUACCGGCCAGAGACCGAUAGCGCACAAGUAGAGUGAUCGAAAGAUGAAAAGCACCUUGAAAAGGGGGUUAAAUAGUACGUGAAAUUGUUGAAAGGGAAGCACUUAUGACCAGACUUGGGCCGGGCGGCUCAUCAGGGGUUCUCCCCUGUGCACUCCGCCCGGCACAGGCCAGCAUCGGUUCUCGUGGGGGGAUAAGACCGUCAGGAACGUAGCACCCUCCGGGGUGUGUUAUAGCCUGGCGGACGAUACCCCCGUGGGGACCGAGGUCCGCGCUCCGCAAGGAUGCUGGCGUAAUGGUCACCAGUGACCCGUCUUGAAACACGGACCAAGGAGUCGUCCAUUAGAGCGAGCGUUUGGGUGUAAAACCCGCACGCGUAAUGAAAGUGAACGCAGGUGAGAGCUUCGGCGCAUCAUCGACCGAUCCUGAUGUUCUCGGAAGGAUUUGAGUAAGAGUUUUAACGGACGGACCCGAAAGACAGUGAACUAUGCUUGUAUAGGGUGAAGCCAGAGGAAACUCUGGUGGAGGCUCGCAGCGGUUCUGACGUGCAAAUCGAUCGUCAAAUAUGAGCAUGGGGGCGAAAGACUAAUCGAACUGUCUAGUAGCUGGUUACCGCCG
rnacentral:rRNA from 1 species